rnacentral:rRNA from 1 species
GUGCCAGCCGCCGCGGUAAUACGUAGGGUGCAAGCGUUGAUCGGAAUUACUGGGCGUAAAGCGUGCGCAGGCGGUUUUGUAAGUCUGAUGUGAAAUCCCCGGGCUUAACCUGGGAAUUGCAUUGGAGACUGCAAGGCUAGAAUCUGGCAGAGGGGGGUAGAAUUCCACGUGUAGCAGUGAAAUGCGUAGAGAUGUGGAGGAACACCGAUGGCGAAGGCAGCCCCCUGGGUCAAGAUUGACGCUCAUGCACGAAAGCGUGGGGAGCAAACAGGAUUAGAAACCCCGGUAGUCC